rnacentral:rRNA from 1 species
AGAGUUUGAUCCUGCUUCAGGAUGAACGCUAGCGACAGGCCUAACACAUGCAAGUCGAGGGGUAACAGGGGCUUCGGCCCCGCUGACGACCGGCGCACGGGUGAGUAACGCGUAUGCAACCUGCCUGUAACAGCGGGAUAGCUCCCUGAAAGGGGAAUUAACACCGCAUAAGACCACGCUCUCGCAUGGGGACGGGGUAAAAUAUUUAUAGGUUACAGAUGGGCAUGCGUGACAUUAGUUAGUUGGUGAGGUAACGGCUCACCAAGACUGCGAUGUCUAGGGGUUCUGAGAGGAAGGUCCCCCACACUGGAACUGAGACACGGUCCAGACUCCUACGGGAGGCAGCAGUGAGGAAUAUUGGUCAAUGGACGCAAGUCUGAACCAGCCAUGUCGCGUGCAGGAUGACUGCCCUAUGGGUUGUAAACUGCUUUUAUAUUGGAAGAAUUGCGCUUACGAGUUAAGCGUUUGACGGUACAUUAUGAAUAAGGAUCGGCUAACUCCGUGCCAGCAGCCGCGGUAAUACGGAGGAUCCGAGCGUUAUCCGGAUUUAUUGGGUUUAAAGGGUGCGUAGGCGGAAAUGUAAGUCAGUGGUGAAAUCCUGCAGCUUAACUGUAGAAUAGCCGUUGAAACUGUGUUUCUUGAGUACAUUUGAGGUAGGCGGAAUGUGGUGUGUAGCGGUGAAAUGCAUAGAUAUACCACAGAACACCGAUUGCGAAGGCAGCUUACUAAACUGUCACUGACGCUGAUGCACGAAAGCGUGGGUAUCAAACAGGAUUAGAUACCCUGGUAGUCCACGCUGUAAACGAUGGAUAACUCCCUGUUGGCGAUACACAGUCGGUGGCCAAGCGAAAGCAUUAAUUUAUCCACCUGGGGAGUGCGACCGCAAGGUUGAAACUCAAAGGAAUUGACGGGGGCCCGCACAAGCGGAGGAACAUGUGGUUUAAUUCGAUGAUACGCGAGGAACCUUACCCGGGCUCGAACGGUGCAUGAAUAUACGAGAGAUUGUAUAGUCCUUCGGGACAUGUAUCGAGGUGCUGCAUGGUUGUCGUCAGCUCGUGCCGUGAGGUGUCGGCUUAAGUGCCAUAACGAGCGCAACCCUUGUCAUUAGUUGCCAUCAGGUCAAGCUGGGGACUUUAAUGAGACUGCCACCGUAAGGUGUGAGGAAGGGGGGGAUGACGUCAAAUCAGCACGGCCCUUAUGUCCGGGGCGACACACAUGUUACAAUGGGAGGUACAGAGGGCAGCUAUCCGGUGACGGAAUGCUAAUCUCCAAAACCUUUCUCAGUUCGGAUUGGAGUCUGCAACUCGACUCCAUGAAGGUGGAUUCGCUAGUAAUCGCGCAUCAGCCAUGGCGCGGUGAAUACGUUCCCGGGCCUUGCACACACCGCCCGUCA